CUAACAUAUCUAGACAUUUUGUUCCAAAGUUAAAACAACUAAGUUCUGGCUUAAUUUACAUGUGUCUGUAGAACCAUUUUUUUCUUGUUGUUCCUCCAAAAAUGACAAAAGAGAUUGGGGGCAAGGUGACAAGUCAGUCCUGUGGAGAGUGAGACAGCUAUCUUCUCCUGCAUGAAAAAGUUAAACACUUUGUUUUUACCAGACUUUAGCAAUAAUUUCUUCUACCUCAUUGCCUUUCAGUGCUGACAUAUCCUCAGAGCAGAUGACACACAUGAAAAUAAAUCAGCUACAUAUAUUCAGCUGGAGGAAAUAGUCUCAACGGAGAGAAAUACUGCUGAAAUCUGAGUUGAAUUCUUUAUGGAAAUAAUGAACCUGGGUAGGUUUAUGAAGCAGUUCCUUUGCUUCUUAAAGAGCUUGGCUGCUGUGUAUUGUGAAGAACACCUCUGUCAACAUUCUCUGCUGAGCACCAGUCUCCACAGAAGCUUUCUCUCUCUCACUCUGGAACAGCUAACAGCCUGAAUCUCCACGUAGUUUCCUGCUGAAGCAGGGAGAUGGAAUAAGUAAAUUCCACCUGAUAAGCAAGACUGUUGAUAGCUGGAAAUAAAAUCUGGGAGAAACUUGGCUGGAAGACAGUUGGAGGUCACAAUCAAGGCUCGGUCCUGUACAGGUGACACUGUAAAAUCAGGAUAUGACUUUAAAUGUGUGAGCUAAAUAGUCCCGCUCUUUCAGAUGUAAUCUGAGCCUAGUUUUGUAGAGAGAGAGCUCCUGCCUAGUACAAGUAGCAAAAUCCAAGCCUUGCAAAAAUGUGAGGCUAAAUUUUAACUUAUCAUAAGAAAGAGGACAUCAAGGAAAAUGAGUAUCA